CCUACGGGCGGCAGCAGUGAGGAAUAUUGGUCAAUGGACGAGAGUCUGAACCAGCCAAGUAGCGUGAAGGAUGACUGCCCUAUGGGUUGUAAACUUCUUUUAUAUAGGAAUAAAAUGUUCCACGUGUGGGAUUUUGUAUGUACCAUAUGAAUAAGGAUCGGCUAACUCCGUGCCAGCAGCCGCGGUAAUACGGAGGAUCCGAGCGUUAUCCGGAUUUAUUGGGUUUAAAGGGAGCGUAGGUGGAUUGUUAAGUCAGUUGUGAAAGUUUGCGGCUCAACCGUAAAAUUGCAGUUGAAACUGGCAGUCUUGAGUACAGUAGAGGUGGGCGGAAUUCGUGGUGUAGCGGUGAAAUGCUUAGAUAUCACGAAGAACUCCGAUUGCGAAGGCAGUUCACUGGACUGCAACUGACACUGAGGCUCGAAAGUGUGGGUAUCAAACAGGAUUAGAUACCCGUGUAGUC
rnacentral:rRNA from 1 species